rnacentral:rRNA from 1 species
GGUUAAGCGACUAAGCGUACACGGUGGAUGCCCUGGCAGUCAGAGGCGAUGAAGGGCGUGCUAAUCUGCGAUAAGCGCCGGUAAGGUGAUAUGAACCGUUAUAACCGGCGAUACCCGAAUGGGGAAACCCAGUGUGAUUCGUCACACUAUCAUUAACUGAAUCCAUAGGUUAAUGAGGCGAACCGGGGGAACUGAAACAUCUAAGUACCCCGAGGAAAAGAAAUCAACCGAGAUUCCCCCAGUAGCGGCGAGCGAACGGGGAGGAGCCCAGAGCCUGAAUCAGCAUGUGUGUUAGUGGAAGCGUCUGGAAAGGCGCGCGAUACAGGGUGACAGCCCCGUACACAAAAGCGCAUGUGCUGUGAGCUCGAUGAGUAGGGCGGGACACGUGGUAUCCUGUCUGAAUAUGGGGGGACCAUCCUCCAAGGCUAAAUACUCCUGACUGACCGAUAGUGAACCAGUACCGUGAGGGAAAGGCGAAAAGAACCCCGGCGAGGGGAGUGAAAAAGAACCUGAAACCGUGUACGUACAAGCAGUGGGAGCACCCUUUGGGUGUGACUGCGU